rnacentral:rRNA from 1 species
AUGGCUUUUGUGGGGAUGGAUCCCGUUUUCGCCGCCGCUGAAUCCGCUAGAGUGGCGAACCAAGAUCCAGCGAGCGAGGUUUCGCCAGAUGAGUUGGACAGCGAUGGCGAUUGUUCUGGUGGUGAUGGUGGAUCCAGCGGUCCACCAGGAACACCAGCAAUUACGUCUAGAUUAUCUUUACUCAAGCUAGGUUCUGUUAUUAGCAAAUUUUCAGAUUUCAAGAAACAACUAGUCAGAGAAAUAGGAUUCGACGGGUUGCUUCAUAUUAAGUCAUGGCAAAAGAUAAAUCUUAAGUACAGCGCUUACCUCAUGGAUAGAGUACAUGUUGACAACAGCGUGAUCAACCUGGAAGGCCAGGGCAUGCUUGAGCUUACAGAUGAGUCAGUUCACUCUGUUUUUGCAAUACCACGCGGUGAGCUAGCAAUUGGUCCAGAAGGUGUCGAACCGUCUGAAGCUUGCAUUGAGUAUACACGUUUCGCAGCUAGCAUCAAUGACAAAGGCACACACAGCUUGAAGGCAGCAGAGGCAUACCUGAUGCGGGACAUCGCCGCCAACUCUAGAAAAAUUGACAUGGAUUGUUUCAAAAUUGCAUUCGUCAUCUUCGUAAUUGGCCAUGUUCUUGCUCCAUCAGCCAAACAUGAUUACGUAACAAUAGAUUUCUGGGCUGCCUUGAGUGAUGUUGACAAAAUCCGAACAUGGAACUGGUGUAGCUACAUUUUGAAACAUCUGUUCAAUGCUGUAAGGAAAUUCAAGUCAGAUGUCAUUAAACGAAAUCCAACAAUCCACAUUGUCGGCUGCCAUCUGUUCCUACAGGUGUUUGUGCUUGACAGCCUCGAGCUUGGCCAACUGAACAAACCACGCGGAAUGUACCCAAGGAUAGCGCUUUUUGAGCACGAGUCGAUGAAGAAGAUGAUUGAUAUCACAUCAGUAAACAUGGGUGGAGGAGAAAUAUCAUUUCACGGGGCAUCGGUCAAGGCUGAACAAAACAUCAGCAAAGGUAUUGUCUGCGCAUCAACCGAGCUUGCAAAUGAAAACAUUCCGAGGCAUUCUAAUACGACGAAACGAGUCCAGAUGCCAUCUGCGCCUAUUUUAAGAGCUACUUACAAUAAAAUUGGUCCACAAGAUUUUUCAAACCACAUACGUACAAACUAUCCAUCAAUAUCCGAUGAGAAGCUCGGGAUACUUCUCCGUGAGCACAAUGCUCGAGGUCUGGCAAACAUUUCAGAGAUGAGGCGGUCUUUCCAGUCAUCAAUGUUCACAUUUGCGGACAAGCUCAUCAACUGCAUCGCUGAGAAUUGUUCUUGUUGCAAGGCCAACGGACGUAAACAAUGCAUCCUGAAGAGUGAAAAUCAAAACAGUUGCACCAACUUGGCCAACACUCCUAUGCAAGAAAAAAUAGACAAUUCGUUUGUUACCCCUGUUUGCAACAAGGUUUCUCCCAGGCUGGCUGGACAACUCCCAAACGACGUUUUGAGAAUCAUUUCCGACGCAGGUAGCUCGUCGGCCAAUAGCUCCAUUGCAAGGAAGAGGGGAGUUGUGUUCAGCCCGGCCAUCCAGACGGAAUCAUCAAAAAAGGUGUGUCUUCGGCUGGACGACCCACUCCAAGCAGUUUCCCAUUCAGCAGUAGAUACUGUCAACAACUCAUCUCUGUCUGGGAAGCAAGACACUCGCCGAGAGGUUGCCAAUACGAUUUAUUCAUUCUUUGAUGACCUGACUGCUAGCAUAGUCAUGUACUAUGUCGAGCAACGACCGAGCUCUGGAUAUGUUACAUUCGGAACUACAAACGACACCGCGCCAGCCAAAAUUCAGAUAACAAAGUGCAACAUCGCCCGCGACCCAUGGGCAAUCGGUUCAGUUCCGAUGCCACCGGCAGUCCCAGUCCUUAGAGCCAUAAAAGAUUGGUUGGCUGUGUCAUCCACGUUCGUCCUUGAAAGGAAAUGGAUUAUGCAUCCAAAACCAAGACUCAUACUGCUCGACGGCAUUGAAAUCCAACAACAACUAUCAGGAAAAGAACAGCUUAGUCAUGAGAUGUGUGCUGUUAUUUUUAGGAGGCUUUCACAAAUGGACAAGACCUAUUCGAAGGACACUUUGACUAUGUUUUGGAGGAAGUUUCUUGAGCCUGAUUUCGGCACUGCAGUUUUAUCCAAUGCCGAUCCAUUGACCAUUCAGUCGAUCCGUGCAACAUUUACAGAAGAAAACGAGUUUUUUAGCCCAGCCUCUAGUCGGAUGUGGCAUAUACCUGCACUCCUACCGGACGGAUGGGCCGUCUACGCAUUCGACAUGGCCAAGCGAAGGAUUUUAGUACUAGACCCGGCCGUCGGCCCAUUUGGUUUUAGCAAUAGAAGGAUCAACAUGCACACAUAUGUGUCUGACCUGCUUCACGCUGCACUCUUCAGAUGCAUCCAAUCUUUAUAUGAUUCCUGGCACUGCAGUUCCGGAGAAUGGACCCGUGCAUUUCCUGUGAUCAUGUUAGAGAACAUUGAAAAGGAAGACUAUGGCGUGUGUGCUUCGUUUUUUGCCAGGAAUUAUGAUGGUGACAAACUCUAG